GUAAUUCAACUUAGUACGAGAGGAACCGUUGAUUCAGAUAAUUGGUCUCUGCGGCUGUCCGACCGGGCAGUGCCGCGACGCUACCAUCUGCUGGAUUAUGGCUGAACGCCUCUAAGUCAGAAUCCACGCUAGAAGCGGUGCAUGUCACUCUUCGACUGUAUCUCGACCCGCAGUAGGGGCGUCGCUUUGUCGCCCCCAGGGGCCCGUGUCAUUUGCAAACCGCGACCGUGAAGCAUCUCGGUCGGGGCAGCUUUGAAGUUCAAUUCCAAAUGGUCGGCGAGAAGAAUCCUUUGCAGACGACUUAAAUACGCGACGGGGUAUUGUAAGUGGCAGAGUGGCCUUGCUGCCACGAUCCACUGAGAUUCAGCCCUUGGU
rnacentral:rRNA from 1 species